GAUGAACGCUGGCGGCGUGCCUAAUACAUGCAAGUCGAGCGAACAGACGAGGAGCUUGCUCCUCUGACGUUAGCGGCGGACGGGUGAGUAACACGUGGAUAACCUACCUAUAAGACUGGGAUAACUUCGGGAAACCGGAGCUAAUACCGGAUAAUAUAUUGAACCGCAUGGUUCAAUAGUGAAAGACGGUUUUGCUGUCACUUAUAGAUGGAUCCGCGCCGCAUUAGCUAGUUGGUAAGGUAACGGCUUACCAAGGCAACGAUGCGUAGCCGACCUGAGAGGGUGAACGGCCACACUGGAACUGAGACACGGUCCAGACUCCUACGGGAGGCAGCAGUAGGGAAUCUUCCGCAAUGGGCGAAAGCCUGACGGAGCAACGCCGCGGGAGUGAUGAAGGUCUUCGGAUCGUAAAACGCUGUUAUGAGGGAAGAACAAAUGUGUAAGUAACUAUGCACGUCUGGACGGUACCUAAUCAGAAAGCCACGGCUAACUACGU
rnacentral:rRNA from 1 species